GACGAACGCUGGCGGCACGCUUAACACAUGCAAGUCGAACGGAGAAUUUUGAGUUUACUUAAAAUUCUUAGUGGCGGACGGGUGAGUAACACGUGAGCAACCUGCCUUUGAGAGAGGGAUAGCUUCGGGAAACUGAUGGUAAUACCUCAUAACGUAUAUUUAAGGCAUCUUAGAUAUACCAAAGAUUUAUCACUCAAAGAUGGGCUCGCGUCUGAUUAGCUAGUUGGUGAGGUAACGGCUCACCAAGGCGACGAUCAGUAGCCGGACUGAGAGGUUGAACGGCCACAUUGGGACUGAGACACGGCCCAG
rnacentral:rRNA from 1 species